GCCUGGGUGGCUUAGUCAGUUAAGCAUCUGACUCUCGGUUUCGGCUCAGGUCAUGAUCUCGCAGUUCGUGGGUUCGAGCCCCACAUCGGGCU
rfam:Felis catus isolate Cinnamon breed Abyssinian chromosome F1, whole genome shotgun sequence.